ensembl:lncRNA
CUCAAGAUGGGGAGUGACUGGGGAGCUGACCCAGGAGACCUGACGCAGGAUUUCCUGAGCCACUUGGACCAACACUGUUUCUUUUCUGAAGGCAGAUGAUGCUCCCAAGGAGGCCCUGAGAGUGUGGUCAGUUACAUGACUCUGCCUUAUGGUUGACUGCCUUUGGAUCCUGUGCUGUUCAUUUCUAGACCAGAAGGAGUUCAGAUCUUACAAAUCCAGAGGGCACCAUCAGAUCACCAUGAGACUGCUGAUGCAACCAUCUCAGGUCCCUCAUUGCAUUUGGCGAUUCUCCUAUUCAGAGCCUUUGUUUAACAUAUUGUGAUUGGGCUGGAGCCAGCGGGAUCUGAACAAAUUCCCCUUCUAAAUAUUGACUCUGUGACAUUUGAGCCCCUGCCAGCUGGGAUGGCGCCAAGGCUGUUAAUAGCUGUGAAGAGGGAGAGUGAUAAGAAGUUCUAGGGGAUUAUAAACCAGAAUGAAUUUCUCACUAAAGGACCCACUAUUUUAAAAUAUUAUUUAUUUAUUCAUUCAGGCAUCCAUUCACUCAUUUACUCUUGGGUUUCACAGCACUCCCUGUGCCAGACUGUGCCAGGUGACAGGGACAAGGAGUCAUCUAUGCACAGAUCCUGCUCUCAAGGCGCUCUCAAUCAAUCUCAGGGGACAGAGGCACAAACCCUGUGGAGAAAAGUGAGGAACCACAUGUGCCACAUCACAGGAGCACCUGGGAUGGGUCCCCAAACUGGAGGGCUCCUGGGGGAGGUGACAGGAACCUGGGUCAUAAAUGGGGCAGGAGUUCACCAGCCAAGAGUUGGGGAGGCAUUGCACAUAGAAGGGCACAGGAGUGAAGCACUUAAACUUCUGUAGUCUUCAAUUUCUUCAUCUAUAAAAAGAGUGAAGGCCUAGACCCAACCUCAUGACGUUCCUGAGAGGGUUAGAGAGCAAUGCUGACAAUCACACACCCAGGGUCUUACCCUCCAGCAGGUCUUGGCUCUCAACUGUGGGAGAUGGGUCGGUGGUGAUUCAUUCUUGCUCUUGCUCAUCCUUCUUAGUGGACUGGGUGUGAGUUUCCAGCAUCCAGCAGCCAGAAUCAGGAGGAAGCCCAAAGCCAAGGAACAAAGUAAAGCUUAGCCGUGGAGGCGAAGUGAUGCGUCACCAAGCACAGAUCACCAGACGGAACAGCAGCCGAAUGUGGCAGACCCCUGGGCUAACAGACCAGGAGAAGAACUCCAAUGGAGUCUGCCAGCGUCUGUGUCACCACACCUGUACUAUGUCACAACAAUGGCUGCCACCAAUGUCUCAGUCUCUGGAGAGGUCUCACCUCUCACUGAGAUGCACCCAGAGGCUACCAGGUAAGUCUCUUUUCACCAAAGGACUGCACACUUUUCUUUAUGGUGAUUUUAGUUUGCUUUCUGAGAUGGGUGAAUUUGUGUCUGGUCCCUUUAAGAGCUGUGUUAUUCUGCUUAUGUCCUAUAGCUUUUCUGAGAGUAUUCCCCCAUUGCACUUAACAGCCAGUGAAGGCAGAUACUAUGACACCUGUCUCAGCUGUGCUGUGUCUGAAGGAUGCUCAUAGCAGUAAUACACCCCUGCUCAGGUCCCCUGCUCCUCCAGGGAAGGCUGCACACCUUAGGUUUGCUCCCAGCCCAUCGUGAAGCUCCACAGCUUGCAAAGGUGGCUUUUUUCUGUCCAGAAGGAAUUUCUGCCUUUUCCACCUCGGUCAGGACUGUCCCUGUUGUGGGGAUUCUUUUUAUCCAGUUUUCUGUUCUCUCUCUGGGGUAAUUUUUCCAAGAAUAGUUGUAACCUGGUUGUGUUCGUGGGAAGAGGUGAGUUCAGAGUCCGCCUACACCACCAUCUUGACGGGAUCUCUAAAUACUUUUCUUUAACUCAGUAUAUAUGACUCAAGAUUUUAUUUAACCUCAGUUAUUAUUAUAACAUGUAAUCAAUAUUAAAAAAUAAUAAUGAGACAUUUUUAUGCUAAAUCUUUGAAAUCUGGUUUGCCUUUUACACUACAGUACAUCUCAGUUUGGGCUACCCACACUUCAAGUGCUCAACAGCCAAAUGUGGCUAAGACUACCUGUUAGAUCUUGCAGCUUUAGAUUUUAGAAUUAUCAGGCAGGUAUUUUAAAAUAACUAUGCUUACUAUAUUUAAUGAGCUAAGAAAAAGAUGAAAAAUUCAAUAUAGAAUUGGAAAUUAUAUAAAAGUGAUAGAGGAUAUUUGAAUUAUGGAAUAAUCCAAAACCGUAAAAUUGAGUAACUGAAAUUAACAACUAAGUGGAUCCCUUUAGUAGCAGCUUAUACAUAACAUACCCAAGGAGAGAGCUGGUCAACUGGAAUGACCAUCAGAAAAAAUUAUGUAGAAUGAGGUACAGAAAGACAAAAGGGUGGAAAAAUCCAGAAGAAAGAGAAGAGACAUAGCAGACACAUGAGAAGGUUUACCACACAUUAAUUGGAAUCCUAAAGGGAGAGGUAAGAGACAAAAAGGGAGAAGCUGUUUUUGAAGAGAUAAUGGCUGGGAAUUUUUCAAAACUAAUUAGAAAUCUGUUGUCAAUUUCAUUGCCUUUCCAUUGAGGAGAAUCUUAUCAAAGGUUGCUUUACAAUUUUUCCUUCUUCAAGUUCUUCUCUUUGAAGAUCUUGAAGAUAUUGUGCAAUUUCACCACAACGUGCCUAGGAGCGAACUGAUCUUUAUAUUUCCUACUUGGGAUUUAUUGUGUUUCCAGAAAUGGAAGAUUAAUGUCUUUCACAAAAUCUGGAAAAUACUUAGCUAUUAGCUCUUUGAAAGUUUCCUCUCCCUCAUUUUCUCUCUUCUCUGCUUUUGGAAGCCCUGUUAGAUGUCAGUUGGACCAUUUCAUUGUGGAUCCCUAUUUUCUACCUCUCUCUUUAGUUUCAGAAUGAAACUCUCACCACUCAAUUUUGAAUGAGUUUUCAAAUUAAUCAUCCAGUUCACUGAUGCUCUAUUGAAACUAGGUCUAAUACGCUGGUUCACCAAUAAGUUGAGUUUUUAAUUUUAAACUUUUAUUGUUAGAAGUUUUGUCUGGUUCUAUUUCAAAUAUAGCUGGUCUUUUAUGAUAGCGUCUCAUUAUUUGAAAUGUUUUUAUUCAUUCCUUAUGCUUUAAUGAUUUAAAUACAGAUACUUUACAGUUUUAUUGAUAGUUUUAUAUCUGUAUUUCCUGAGGACCUAACCUGCUGUGUUGAAUGGGCUUAUUUCACUUACUGUGGGUUGAGUCUUGUGUUCUGUAAGUUUAAAACAUGAGCUUUUCUUUCGAUUUCAUAUAACUUGGAAGCAAUAACUUUCACAAGCUAACCCCUGAGUUCAUAUAUCUCUUCACUGGAAAGGCUAGAAGAAAAGGGGAGGGGCCAACCCCAAGGCUUAGGGCCUGUUGAUGCUAAAGAGGUUUAACAAAGUCAGGCCUGACUCAGACCAGAAUCCCUGUUUGGGAGAGUCUCUUUGGGCCCAGUGGGAGGUGGGGUGGGGACAGCAGGCACACAAGUCAGGGGCAGGACUCACAUUUGAGUGAGAGCUGCAUGGUGGCUCCACAGUAUGUGUCAAGGGGAAGGGGACUCCUCCAGGGGGCUAAGAGGAGAGGGGCCUGGGUCUAACCCGGGGAGGAGGGCUGGGAAUGCCUUGCAGACCCAAGUCAACAGGCUGGAGUUCAGGGCUGUGUUCUCACAGAAAGAGCCGCUUUGAAUCCCUUUGUGCCACAGAAACUUGGAAAUACAAAUUUGGAACACAGCACCCCAAACCUUCGCAAAGGGGAGUUAUUGUGUUUACCAAAAGGUCUUGCGCUCCACUGGGAUCAAAACUACUAGAAAACGUACCGUCGAUGACAGGACAGCUAAGGGCUGUGUUCAGCCCCUUUUUCUAAAACCGGAGUGUUCUCGAGAAGGAAAAUCUUGCCUCAUUUAAGAAGACCAGCAAUGAUUGUGAAUGUGGAAUAGAGACAGGAGGGCCAGGAGGAGGUUCGGGAAAGAAGGGCUGAGGAGGGGCCUGGAAAUAAUGUAACAAGAGCAUCACCAAAUCCAGACCAGGCGAGGCAGGGCUGGGUGGCGCCGGGCCAAGCGGCAUGGUGAGUGGGGCGGAAUCCGCAGAGCCCGGGUUCCGCAUCCGUUUGGGCAGCACCGCCGAGCAGCGCCUGCCAGGGGAGAAGGAGCCG